rnacentral:tRNA from 1 species
CGGGGCGUAGCGCAGCCUGGUAGCGCACCUGACUGGGGGUCAGGUGGUCGCAGGUUCAAAUCCUGUCGUCCCGACCA